UCGUGGGAGAGCCCAAACAUGAUAGCAUCAGAGAACAGGACAACUGGAGAAACAGGAGACAACAUCACAAAUAUCCAUGAUACACUGUACAGGUGGUCAGUCACCUUGAGGGUAGACAGUGAUGGGGAGUGUGAGCAUGAUCCUCUUGGACAGGAACGUCGGGUGACCCUCGUCUCGUGGGUACAGGGGAAGCCACACCUACACAACACCUCCACAGGCGAGCCAGAGUGACUCCAUAAGGUGGUGUGUGUGUGAGGGGGCGUGGUAGGGCGGAGUCCACACAGCCUCCACCGAGCCAGCCAGACACACGGGGG